GACGAACGCUGGCGGCGUGCUUAACACAUGCAAGUCGAACGAAGAGCGAUGGAAGCUUGCUUCUAUCAAUCUUAGUGGCGAACGGGUGAGUAACGCGUAAUCAACCUGCCCUUCAGAGGGGGACAACAGUUGGAAACGACUGCUAAUACCGCAUACGAUCUGACCUCGGCAUCGAGGAUAGAUGAAAGGUGGCCUCUAUUUAUAAGCUAUCACUGAAGGAUGGGAUUGCGUCUGAUUAGCUAGUUGGAGGGGUAACGGCCCACCAAGGCGAUGAUCAGUAGCCGGCCUGAGAGGAUGAACGGCCACACUGGGACUGAGACACGGCCCAGACUCCUACGGGAGGCAGCAGUAGGGAAUCUUCCGCAAUGGACGAAAGUCUGACCGAGCAACGCCGCGUGAGUGAUGAAGGCCUUCGGGUUGUAAAGCUCUGUUAAUCGGGAAGAAAGGGCUUCUUGCGAAUAGUUAGAAGGAUUGACGGUAGCGGAAUAGAAAGCCACGGCUAACUACGUG
rnacentral:rRNA from 1 species